GAUGAACGCUGGCGGCGUGCCUAAUACAUGCAAGUCGAGCGAACGGACGAGAAGCUUGCUUCUCUGAUGUUAGCGGCGGACGGGUGAGUAACACGUGGAUAACCUACCUAUAAGACUGGGAUAACUUCGGGAAACCGGAGCUAAUACCGGAUAAUAUUUUGAACCGCAUGGUUCAAAAGUGAAAGACGGUCUUGCUGUCACUUAUAGAUGGAUCCGCGCUGCAUUAGCUAGUUGGUAAGGUAACGGCUUACCAAGGCAACGAUGCAUAGCCGACCUGAGAGGGUGGUCGGCCACACUGGAACUGAGACACGGUCCAGACUCCUACGGGAGGCAGCAGUAGGGAAUCUUCCGCAAUGGGCGAAAGCCUGACGGAGCAACGCCGCGUGAGUGAUGAAGGUCUGCGGAUCGUAAAACUCUGUUAUUAGGGAAGAACAGAUGUGUAAGUAACUGUGCACAUCUUGACGGUACCUAAUCAGAAAGCCACGGCUAACUACGU
rnacentral:rRNA from 1 species